GGUCUUGUAUGACUUAUCCAUUUUCUGAUGUUAAUGGGAGUUGUAGAAACCAUACAGAUUUUUUUUGGAUUAAUGUGAUUAAAGGGUUUUUAGAUUUUUCUACAUUUGUAAGAGUACCUAAUUUUAAUUGUGAAAAUGGAACAGUUGUUAAUAAUCUGCACUGUAUUGAGCUUGGUGUUAUGAAAGCUAUGUUUUCUUUCUGAUUUGAUAGUUAUUAUUCUGGUUAUAUUUUUUCUAUUAGAAGACACUGUACUGUUGUAAAUAAUCUUUUAUCUGCAAUCAGUGUGCCAAGCAAUAUAAGACAGACUCGAUGAUCAUUAAGUUGUAUAAAGCAUUGGUAAAAGGAUAAAAGUGAUAAAAUGCUAUUGGUUGGAAAUUGAUAAAUUAAUAAAAAAUGAUUGAUUCUAAUUGCGCGAAAAUAUGUUGCUCUAAAGACCCAAACCGAAAAGAAUGCCUAAAGUGGUUUUCAAAAGAUGAAUUGACGAAUUUCUUAAUUCUUUUUGUUUCGUUGUGAUAAUUUGUCGUAUGAGAACGCUAACGAGAAAAAACUUUUUAAAUAUAGAAACAUGCGUAAUAUAAAGUUUACUUAUGCCUAUAAAAAAAUAUGUUUUACAUUAAUUAAUAAAUUAACUUUUUAGUUUCUUGUUAAAAAUUGUAUUCUGUAUUGAAGUUUAUUUCUGAGAAUUUGUAAUUAUACCUAAGAUAAUCUAAUCCUACAUUGUAUUUUAAUUUAUAAAACUCGAUAUUUUAAAAUAAAUAUAUUACUUUUUUAUCGCG